GAGCCGAUAUUUUAUUGAUUUCACUUAGUUUAUUGUGCUAGAAUUAAUCAGGGAAUUGUGCUUAAUUGUCCGGUAUUUUCCCGUUUUCGCUAAUAGUGCUUAAUUUGGCCAGAAAUUCUAAUUUUAAUUAAUUUGAAUAUUUUGAGCUAAUUAUUUGCAUUAUUAUUUUCAGGGAAAAUUUUGGAAAUUCAAUUUGGGACAUUUNGAGUGAUAUCAAAUAAAGUCAAGACUCUUCACUUGGACAUUUCAAAUUUAAUUACAUUGUAACUUAGUAGUAUAGAAUAUUUUUAAUUGAACUUAUGCAAAAUGGGCCAUUUUGACAAAAAUAUGAGGGCCCAAAAUUGUAAGACACUUGACAUCCUAAGAUUUUAUUUUUUUAGGGUGGACCCCACCCCAAUUUUAGGACACAUGAUCCUAGGAACAUUCCCUUCCAGCCGUCACUUGCAGAGGACAAUAUUUUUUUCUCGGUUGCAACAUUUUGAAGAUGACUCUCGGCUGAAGCUCAUUUUGCUUUGGAUUGGAACUUUUUUUUAGCUUGGGAAUUGAAACAUGGUUGCAAUAUUUGAUUGUGGAUGAAAGGCUGCCACGUCCAGCAACGUUUAUUUUUAUGAGGAGAAGCAUUGGUCACAUCCAGCAUUAAUAGAAUGAAGGGAGAACUUACGUUUAUUUAUUUUUUAUUUAGCAUUGC
rnacentral:lncRNA from 1 species